CGCGCGCUACACUGAUGCAUCUCAUCGUUUAUAACCUUGGCCGAUAGGUCCCGCAAUCUUGUGAGUAUGCAUCGUGAUGGGGAUAGAUUAUUGCAAUUAUUAAUCUUCAACGAGGAAUGCCUAGUAGGCGCAAGUCAGCAGCUUGCGCCGAUUACGUCCCUGCCCUUUGUACACACCGCCCGUCGCUCCUACCGAUUGAGUGUUCCGGUGAAUUAUUCGGACCGUUUUGUGGCGCGUUCGUGCCCGAAAUGGGAAGUUUUGUGAACCUUAACACUUAGAGGAAGGAGAAGUCGUAACAAGGU